AGUCACUCACUAAGCACAGAGAAGUGGGUAGGAAUAAAGCCAGGUGGCGAUAACAACCUUGGGAUCCUAGCUCUGUGGGAAAGGUUUACCCAGAGUAGUUGAGGGGAAGAAAGCCUGUAGAAGGCCAACUAGGAAGAAGCCCAGGGAAAAUGCUGCAAGGGUUGAGACUGUGAAGAUCUUGUCCGCUGAUGACAGGGUUCCUGGGCUGGAACCCAGAGUAGUGGGUGGGGCCAAGUUUCCCUAUCAGCCACUGGAGUUGGCAAAGAGGACUGCCAGGGACAGUAUAUGAACAGUUGGUCCUGAGGGACUUUGAUACCCCAGAAGGGGUAAAAUUAUAUAAUGACCUAGCUGGAGGGCUGAGUCACAAGGAAAGCACUGUGAGUCCUGGAGAGCGAGAUGGGCCAUGGAUCAAGUGACGGAAGGGGGCACUAGACUGGAUGAGAGCUGACCCCCACACCCAGCCACAAGGGGGCACCCCAGUGCUACAUUGGAAGGAAAACCUACCCCAGAAGAAUCUGGAGGAGAAAACAGUACCAACUAGCUGCAUCUCUGCUCUGGCAGUUUGUUCUAUCCCUGACAAUGGAACAAUCAAUGUUCUUCUCCAGCUGUUGGAAUCAAUGGCAGAUCCACUUCCAGCUCCCAUUAUGCAGCUCUGUCGUGGCAGUGGGAGACAGCACUUGCUACCAGAGAGUGAAGAUCUGCUAAAUCAUCAUAGAUACAAACUUUACAAGAAGACAAGGUUGGCAGAACUUGCUUCCUUCCCCCCUUAGUCAGGGCUGGCAAUGCAGACCCACAGAACACAUGAAAUUGAUACUUUGACAAACCAGCUGGCCAGGCCUGAUGUUCUUGGGCUGAAAUCAGAGUUCUCAGUCUCCUAGGGGGACUGCCUGAUUGAUGACAGAGAAAAGAGCUAAGGUCAACCAGCAGCUCUAUAGCAGAGCUAGGAGUAGAAACCAGGUCUCCUGAAUCCCAGUCCUUCACCCUUUCUACUGUACUACACUAGCUCUGCAAGAUAAAUGGAACCAAUCACAGUCAUUUAGAACCUACACGAAAAGAGUGAUUGGUCCUAAAAGAGUUCACUAUAGUCAACAUUUGUAAUGGUAAUUCCUUUUUUUAAAACUGUAUCAUGUUUUGCAGCACAGUAAAGGGACUUUGCAGUUCUGUUACCUUAUGAGGCUAGGCUGUGAAUGAGUGCAGUGUGAUCACAAUGGCCAGUACUUUCUUUAACUUUAAACAUGCGCUUAAGACCCAUUGACUUCAAUGACACUUAAGCACGUGCUUUAAGUUAAACAUCUACUUAAGUGUUUGUCUGGGUAUGGAUGCUUUCCUGGUGUGGGGUCAUUUAUUGGCAUAAUCUUGAGAAAUGCGCUAUUUAUACAAUUAGCAUGUUCAUGCUGUUGUGAUAUCUAUUUCUAAUAACUUGGGAGACACUCAGAUGCCAUGGUAAUGGGAAGCCAGAAGUAUUUCAUAACCUGCCAAGACCUAAAUGUAUGACAGAAUUUGUGACCAAAAUCCAAAAUGAAGGUAAUGCAAAAAUCAUUCAAGCAGGAAAGAAAGUGUUGCAAGAAUCAUUCCUUUGAUGUAAAUAACUCUAUACAUUCAGUUUAUUAUUAUGCAUUUCUAAUGUAUAUAAUUUUCAAUA